rnacentral:tRNA from 1 species
GGCCUUGUGGCCUAAUGGUAAGGCGCUACAUUUCGGCUGUAGAGAUUGCAGGUUCGAAUCCUGCCGGGGUCG